AUCACCCGGACCAGGAAGUGCGAGGACAUUGGAAGGCGCUGAAGUUCCAGGAGCACUAUCGGGAGCGGAACUUGCUUGGCCAGUAGGCUUAGAGCUGGCGUUCUUCAUUCCUCCGUACUCAACACUUAUCUUAUGACUGAUACGAAUUUUUUUGCUUUCGGGAUCGAGAGGCGCAACGUGGCCGUGGACCGGAGAGAAAAGGUCUAGGGCUCUUUUGAGAGAUUUGAAGCUAAGCUUCUUCAAUGACUGUGGUUCUACCGACUCCAUCUCUAAGGCGGGACCUGGCAUCUUAUUCGCCG
rnacentral:misc_RNA from 1 species